rnacentral:rRNA from 1 species
CACACAUGCAAGUCGAACGAAGCACUUUAUUUGAUUUCCUUCGGGACUGAUUAUUUUGUGACUGAGUGGCGGACGGGUGAGUAACGCGUGGGUAACCUGCCUUGUACAGGGGGAUAACAGUUGGAAACGGCUGCUAAUACCGCAUAAGCGCACGGCAUCGCAUGAUGCAGUGUGAAAAACUCUGGUGGUAUAAGAUGGACCCGCGUUGGAUUAGCUAGUUGGUGAGGUAACGGCCCACCAAGGCGACGAUCCAUAGCCGACCUGAGAGGGUGACCGGCCACAUUGGGACUGAGACACGGCCCAAACUCCUACGGGAGGCAGCAGUGGGGAAUAUUGCACAAUGGGCGAAAGCCUGAUGCAGCGACGCCGCGUGAGCGAAGAAGUAUUUCGGUAUGUAAAGCUCUAUCAGCAGGGAAGAUAAUGACGGUACCUGACUAAGAAGCACCGGCUAAAUACGUGCCAGCAGCCGCGGUAAUACGUAUGGUGCAAGCGUUAUCCGGAUUUACUGGGUGUAAAGGGAGCGCAGGCGGUGCGGCAAGUCUGAUGUGAAAGCCCGGGGCUCAACCCCGGUACUGCAUUGGAAACUGUCGUACUAGAGUGUCGGAGGGGUAAGCGGAAUUCCUAGUGUAGCGGUGAAAUGCGUAGAUAUUAGGAGGAACACCAGUGGCGAAGG